GAUGAACGCUAGCGGGAGGCCUAACACAUGCAAGCCGAGCGGUAUUUCUCCUUCGGGAGAGAGAGAGCGGCGUACGAGUGCGGAACACGUGUGCAACCUGCCUUUAUCUAGAGGAUAGCCUUUCGAAAGGAAGAUUAAUACUCUAUAAUAUAUUAAUUGGCAUCAAUUGAUAUUGAAAACUCCGGUGGAUAGAGAUGGGCACGCGCAAGAUUAGCUAGUUGGUGAGGUAACGGCUCACCAGGGCAAUGAUCUUUAGGGGGCCUGAGAGGGUGAUCCCCCACACUGGUACUGAGACACGGACCAGACUCCUACGGGAGGCAGCAGUGAGGAAUAUUGGUCAAUGGGUGCAAGCCUGAACCAGCCAUCCCGCGUGAAGGAUUUAGGUCCUAUGGAUUGUAAACUUCUUUUGUAUAGGGAUAAACCUACCCUCGUGAGGGUAGCUGAAGGUACUAUACGAAUAAGCACCGGCUAACUCCGUGCCAGCAGCCGCCGUAA
rnacentral:rRNA from 1 species